UACGAAGGGGGCUAGCGUUGUUCGGAAUCACUGGGCGUAAAGCGCACGCAGGCGGAUCGUUAAGUCAGGGGUGAAAUCCCGAGGCUCAACCUCGGAACUGCCUUUGAUACUGGCGAUCUUUGAGUCCGGGAGAGGUGAGUGGAAUUCCUAGUGUAGAGGUGAAAUUCGUAGAUAUUAGGAAGAACACCAGUGGCGAAGGCGGCUCACUGGCCCGGUACUGACGCUGAGGCGCGAAAGCGUGGGGAGCAAACAGG
rnacentral:rRNA from 1 species